rfam:Folsomia candida strain VT population Fcan01_Sc007, whole genome shotgun sequence.
CCAACGGCCCUUUUAAGGGCCACCACAUUAUCCAAAGAGCUCAAAA